AGCUGAUCACUGGGUGUAAAGCGUGCGCAGGCGGUUUUGUAAGACAGAGGUGAAAUCCCCGGGCUCAACCUGGGAACUGCCUUUGUGACUGCAAGGCUGGAGUGCGGCAGAGGGGGAUGGAAUUCCGCGUGUAGCAGUGAAAUGCGUAGAUAUGCGGAGGAACACCGAUGGCGAAGGCAAUCCCCUGGGCCUGCACUGACACUCAUGCACGAAAGCGUGGGGAGCAAACA
rnacentral:rRNA from 1 species